CUCUAUUUUACGUCGAGUGGUAUAUAUACGGGGAGAAGGGUCGGGAGGAUAUUAUCUGAAGGCCUAUUAAGAAUUCUCUUAUAUUCGUCGAGAUUCAUAACACACUGGGAAGGGGGCUGAGAUGGUGGGAGAAACAUCGAAGAAGCUGGAUCACUUUCUUCUGCUGACAGUGCUGCUGCUGCUGAUGAUAUUCUCGCCGCACACUACUCGUUGGGGAGCGACUGCUUCUUCAAUCCAGCUUGACAACAGCACCCACACCGCGCUUGAUUACCAGGGCCGCAUGGAGGAGCCAGAGCUACUCUUCGAUUCGGAAAUAAACAGGAUGCUGGCCACUGACUAUCAGACUGCCACUAGAGCCGUUAAAAACCCUAAUAAGCCUGCAGUUUCCAACUGUAACCGACCUCCAAAGUACGCAAGCUGUCUUCCCGAUAAAACCGGAAGGAAGCCACAACAAAAGUGUGUUACCUACACACGGGGUUGCAAAUGAUAUUGGUAAAAAUGUUUUGUGUCUACUCUUAAAAUAAAGUCUUGGGGUGUGUGGGUGUGUUUGUUUAAUUUGUUUUCCUUUAUAGCUUUCUGAUCAUGCGAUCAAAUGUAAUAAUAAUGUAAAUCAGUUAAUUGCUGAUGUGAAGGAAGUCUUUUGCUAAUUCUUAAAUUGUUCUUAUGAACUAAGAAUCAUGGCGUCGCUAUUGGAAUA